AUCGGUAGCCAGGUGUGGUGGCACAUGCCUGUAAUCCCAGCACUCAGGAGAUUGAGGCAGGAAGAUCACCAGGAGUUCCAGGUCAGCCCGGGCUAUAUAGGGCAGCUGAUACACAAGUAUCUGAAGAAUGAAGAUGGAAUAUUUUAAUGGCAGCCCAUUCAGUGAAUGUGGAAUUCAGGCCACGAUGUCCUGUUAACAACUAACAACUCUGGUUCCUAGAGUUAUCAAAAUGUUCUCUCCUUUGUUAGCAUCUAAAAUAAUUAUACCAGCAAUAUGGUCUACAUUCUGGAGACCGCAUCUACCAACUGCUAGACAACUACUUUCUCUAAUUAAGUUCAUCGCAUACUCUAUAGUUUACAGAAAUAAGUCUCUCACUUUUAAAAAAAGGCUCCAGCAUCUCACCAGAUAUAUUUCCAGUAGGAUUUACCAUCAAUGAAAAACACCUCAUAUUUCAUCAUCCUUUAAAACAAGUCGUUUUUGCAUUCAUAGGGAAGAGCUUGGCAUGAGAGUACAACAACCUGGCUUCUUUUCACUCUAGAGCUGCAGAGGUGUGCCCAUUUGACAAAUGCCCGUGAUGCCUUUAAAGAGAAUAUUUACCAAAACUCAUUGCCCCCUAAAGAACUCUCUCUCUGCUUUACUGGUUCAGCCACCAGAAAUACCUUCAAAGAAUUUGGAAAGAGACAGUAUAGAGUUUGAGAGCAUGGAACCUAGUUUCCUCUCUUACUAGGGAUCAAACUCAGUACCUUGUGCUUGCCAGGGAGGCGCUGUGCUGUUGAGCUACAUCUCCAGCCCUAAAUGUGAUAAAG
ensembl:lncRNA